CCUACGGGUGGCAGCAGUGGGGAAUAUUGGGCAAUGGAGGAAACUCUGACCCAGCAACGCCGCGUGAAUGAUGAAGGUCUUCGGAUUGUAAAGUUCUUUUCUAAGGGAAGAGGAAAGUGCCGUUACCUUAGGAUUAACCCCCGCCUAACUACGUGCCAGCAGCCGCGGUAAUACGUAGGGGGCGAGCGUUAUCCGGAUUGACUGGGUGUAAAGGGGGGGUAGGUGGUUUGGCAAGUCAGUAGCGUAACCCGAGGGCUCAACCCUCGAACUACUAUUAAAACUGUUGGACUUGAGUGCAGGAGGGGCAAGCGGAAUUCCUAGUGUAGCGGUGGAAUGCGUAGAUAUUAGGAGGAACACCAGUGGCGAAGGCGGGUUGCUAGACUGUAACUGACACUGAGGCACGAAAGCGUGGGGAGCAAACAGGAUUAGAUACCCUAGUAGUC
rnacentral:rRNA from 1 species